rnacentral:rRNA from 1 species
UACAGAGGUCCCAAGCGUUGUUCGGAUUCACUGGGCGUAAAGGGUGCGUAGGUGGUGAGGUAAGUCGGAUGUGAAAUCUCCGGGCUCAACCCGGAAAUGGCAUUGGAAACUACCUUGCUGGAGGAUUUGAGGGGGGAUUGGAAUACUUGGUGUAGCAGUGAAAUGCGUAGAUAUCGGGAAGAACACCCGUGGCGAAGGCGGUUCUCUGGGACGGUACUGACGCUGAGACGCGAAAGCGUGGGGAGCGAACAGG